rnacentral:rRNA from 1 species
CGGGUGAGAUAAUAAACACCGUGGGUUAGCCUGCCGUAAGACUGCAUAGUUCGAACGACUAUCGGAUAGUCCUGACGCAUGAUCAGAUGAAGACAUUCGACUGUCACUACAGAUGAACCGCGGCGCAUUAGCUAGUGGUGGGGUACUGACUCAUCAGCGACGAUGCGUAGCCGACUGAGAGGGUGAUCGGCCACACUGGGACUGAGACACGGCCCAGACUCCGUACCGGGAGGCAGCAGUAGGGAAUCUUCCCGCAAUGGACGAAAGUCUGACGGAGCAACGCCGCGUGAGUGAUGAAGGUUUUCGGAUCGUAAAGCUCUGUUGUUAGGGAAGAACAAGUGCGAGAGUAACUGCUCGCACCUUGACGGUACCUAACCAGAAAGCCACGGCUAACUACGUGCCAGCAGCCGCGGUAAUACGUAGGUGGCAAGCGUUGUCCGGAAUUAUUGGGCGUAAAGGGCUCGCAGGCGGUUUCUUAAGUCUGAUGUGAAAGCCCCCGGCUCAACCGGGGAGGGUCAUUGGAAACUGGGAAACUUGAGUGCAGAAGAGGAGAGUGGAAUUCCACGUGUAGCGGUGAAAUGCGUAGAGAUGUGGAGGAACACCAGAGUGGAAUUCCACGUGUAGCGGUGAAAUGCGUAGAGAUGUGGAGGAACACCAGUGGCGAAGGCGACUCUCUGGUCUGUAACUGACGCUGAGGAGCGAAAGCGUGGGGAGCGAACAGGAUUAGAUACCCUGGUAGUCCACGCCGUAAACGAUGAGUGCUAAGUGUUAGGGGGUUUCCGCCCCUUAGUGCUGCAGCUAACGCAUUAAGCACUCCGCCUGGGGAGUACGGUCGCAAGACUGAAACUCAAAGGAAUUGACGGGGGCCCGCACAAGCGGUGGAGCAUGUGGUUUAAUUCGAAGCAACGCGAAGAACCUUACCAGGUCUUGACAUCCUCUGACAACCCUAGAGAUAGGGCUUUCCCUUCGGGGACAGAGUGACAGGUGGUGCAUGGUUGUCGUCAGCUCGUGUCGUGAGAUGUUGGGUUAAGUCCCGCAACGAGCGCAACCCUUGAUUUAGUUGCCAGCAUUCAGUUGGGCACUCUAAGGUGACUGCCGGUGACAAACCGGAGGAAGGUGGGGAUGACGUCAAAUCAUCAUGCCCCUUAUGACCUGGGCUACACACGUGCUACAAUGGACAGAACAAAGGGUUGCAAGACCGCAAGGUUUAGCCAAUCCCAUAAAUCUGUUCUCAGUUCGGAUCGCAGUCUGCAACUCGACUGCGUGAAGCUGGAAUCCGGUAGAAAUCGCGGUUCG